rnacentral:lncRNA from 1 species
ACCUACGUACAUAUAUAUACCAUUGGAAUGUGAAGUAUAGGUGAUUUUUUUUUAAAUAAUAAAAAUUAAGAGAUAGAUUUAUUUUUGGGAUUGAUAUAAAUAAAUAUAGAUUUAUGGAUUGGAGUGGAAAAUUCUUUAGCUUGACCCAUCUUGUAAUAUACAAUAAAUGGGACUCUGUGCGUACUUUUAGUUCUUGAGAUAAUGCGAGAUUUUAAACUUUGUGAUUGUUACAGAAACUGUGCACUUUUGAUAUCUAAGUUUUUUUUUUUUUUUUGAAAACCAAAACGAUCUCAAAUAUUAAGGAAGGUCCGCCGACAGCAAAUCACAGAGCCAUCGAGGAAAAUCAGUAAUCCAACAGAUAGGUUGCUGAUAAGAACGCGCAAAAUGCGCGAGACUAUGAGCUACAGUAUUCGCCUCCCUAUACAUGUGAUUAACACUAAUUUUUUUUUAAUUACUUUAGAUAAUAAGAGUUCUUGAAAAAAUAAAACCCUAAUUGGAUCACAAAACACGCAUGAGAUAAUAACCAACCAAUGUCAUCACUUCGGUGAUAAUAUACCUAUGUUUGGGAGACAUUUUCGAAGGAAUUUAUUUAUUUAUUUUUAAUUAGGGGAGUUGGGGAGGGGGAGCCGUGAGGUUUGAACCCGGGACCUCACUGUUUACACACAGGAGGUCGCACCGCUUGGUGUCCCCUUGGAGUUUGAAGGGAAUUUUUUCUCUAAUGGAAGUUAAGUAACAAAGGACUUACAAAAGAAUAGACUCUUCCUACUUAAGCAACUUCCAGAAACUUCACACACAGUGAAAACUAGUAAUGUAUGCACUACACAUUACUUACACUUACCAUCCAAUCCCAAUUGUACUGAAUCGAGAAAACUCUCAAAGUUCCAAACAACACAGAUUACAACUUAAUCAUGCGAGCACAUAAGAGAACAAUCUAUCUUUCACAAGCACAAGCCGCUUAUGAGAAAACAAUAAAAACUGCAAACCUUCACUUGAGUCUUCAACAACAUAUAUAAAUAUAUAUAUAUAAUGGUGGGGAGAAAAUCUAGAUAUGUUACCAUCUUGCAUCGAGUGAAUAUUUUCUUAUGAAGAAUAUUUCUAACAAUCAGGUACCACGAAAGGUAAGAAUAUUUGAUCAAACAACAUGCAUAUGCCAAAAUUCUUACAAGAAUCUUGGGUAAGAUCUUUACCAUAUAUCAUAACUUUGAAUAGGGAAAGUUUUCAUACUCUGCCAACGAAAACAAACGAAACAUUUGCACUGUCACUCGGAUUACGAAGAGACAUUCUCAAAAUGCAUGUGUCUAUGUAAUGCAAAAUCAUGUAUGUCAAUACACACUCACAGUUCUAACUUCUAAUUAAGGUAAAACAAUGGGGAAUCAUGAAUUCCAAAUUAAAAUUUGCAAAUACGAUUAAUCUCCAUAACAUUCUGUUGUCACUAUAAAUCCGCAUUGACUAGGCCAACAAUUUAAUUCAUUAAAUAUUAUAUUACCAUCCACAAUCUUACAUGCUGCAUUUGUAAUCUAUAUAUAUUCCCCUUAUAUUAUAUAAGUUGACCUUCUAUCGUUGUGUAAUCAAAUAUAUACAAUCAUACACUUGUAAAAGAAUAAUGUAAAUACCAAAUAAUCUUAUUUUUUUUCAAGCUAACUCAAUUAAUUGGCAUGAUCGCGAAUUUAGUUGAUUACCGUCGAAAUCAAACUUCACUAAAUUAAAGGCGAGUCAAACGAAUUUUUAUGAAGCUGAGAUCUAAGUAGUUCAACUCAUUUACAGUCUCAAUCAUUUUUAUUCUCUCUGUCCCGUUUUAUCUUUUUUAAGAGCGUGUUUGAUAUUGAUUAAUACACUAUAUUAGCUAAUUUAGUACAUAUCAGUCUAGUGUUUGAUAUUAUUUAGUAAUAAUGCGGAUGACCCGGUUUAAUCCCACGACCCAAUAUUAUUAAUCCAAUUUUUUUAGGAUUAAUAAUACACCUCCCCUAGGAUUAACUUAAACCAUGAUAUUCUGUAUUUAACCAUGAUAGCAAACACCAACUCAGUAUUAAUAAUCUGUCAUAUCCACACUAAAUAUCCUGGUUACAAAUUAUCCUACAUAAUCCUUUACUGAAAACCAAACGAGCCCUAAAAUUACAAUAGAUAUCUGAAUAUAAUUAAUUAUGUAAGCCACACGUAAGCGGGACCUCGCCACUGCAUACAUGCGGGAUUGAACCCAAGACCUCUCACAAAAGAGAGUCUUUGGGUGCCUCAACUUUGCCACUAGAACAAAGCCUCAUUGGCUCUGUCCCGUUUUAUUUGGCCUAAUUAUUUUCGACAUGUUUAUUUAGGAACUAGUUUUUAUUGUGUAUAAAGUGUUAUGACCCAUUUAUUUGUGUAAAUUAGCCAAAAAUAGACUCGGCCAAGUCAGUUGGAUCAGCCGAAAAGAAACGCAGGUCUAGUGAAGUGGGACUGAGGAAGUAUAAUUUUUGAAAAGCUUCAUAAUCUAUAUAAUAUAUAAAAGGGGAGUUUUUUUUUCUCCAUUUUUUCCCUCUUUUUUUCUCUCUCUUCUCCUAUCAUUUUUUUCACUACUUUUUUCUAUCUCUCUUUCUUACAAUUUUAAAUUUUUAUCUAGACAUCGUCAAAUUUAAUUUAUUAAGAAAUAUCCAAUGUGCAUCUUAGAUUUAUGUUCGUGAUAAGAUAUUUAAUAUAAUAUAAAAUUAUCAAAAAUAAAUUUUAAACUAAUAAGUUAAGAAAAAAAUUAAAUAAUUUUCUUUUAUCUCUCUUUGUAAAAUUUUACAACUUUUUAUUUAUGUUUGUGUAUGAAAGUAUUUACUAUAUUUAUUUAUUAUUACGUGUAAUACUCUUAAUAAUGUAUAAUGUUUACAGAGUUGAAAAUUUACGUUUUUAAAUUUGGAAUUUUAUUGAGUAAUUUAUGUGGAUUAUUUUAUUUUAUUUUUAAAAUAUAUUUUGCAUUUAUUUAUAUUUUAAUUCGAUUUAAUAUCAAUAUUUAUUUAUUUAAAUAUAUAUUUUAAUUUUGGUGUUCGUUGUGCAUUGCACGAAUGAGCAUACUAGUGGGAUACUAAAUGCCUUUUUUUUUUUUUUUUUUCAGUACUAUAAGGGCUAGUUUGAUAAGGGUUACUAGCAUUGCUAACUAGUAUUUCUAUAGAUAUAUGUGUAUUUGAUAGUAUUGACUAUUUAUUCCAUUGGCCCGCAUAAAUGCAAGGGCCCGCAUGACUUUCACUAUUCCACUUAGAAAGUGGGUCUACCCUUCCCCUUGAGUUAUUUAGUAUUGUUUUCUACAGUACCAGCUACUAAUUUAUAUUUGACUAAUUUAUCCCCACACCAACCACCACAUUCCCGAUUCACUUCAGAAAAUAAAAUUGGGGGGACCGAAAUUCAAACAAAAAAAAUCAAGAGCUCAAGAAGAAAAAUCCCGCUCCAGUACAUAGAUUGUCUUCUUCAAAUAGUGGGGAAAUAUCUAUUUCUUCUAGAGGGAAAUCAACUGCUCGCCGGUAAGUCCAACGAAAAAGUAUGGGUUAUUUUUGUUAAAUUUUUUCUAAUCCACGCAUGUCUCUGUUGGCUUGAGGGUUUCUCAUGUAUAGAAUUUUUGAUUCAAUGUUGUUUGGUUUCGAACUCUGGGAUGCCGUUGGUAGCUAGGUUUUAGAUGGUUGUUUGUGUUCAAUUGUUGUUUGAUUUCGAAAUCAUGGAUAAAUGUAUUCUUUUUGUCGAAUUUUGUUGUUUGAUUUUGACUGAUAUGUGUGUUUUGAUUCUGGUUCGGUGUUGUGUAUACAUAUAUUCAUUUGGAUAUCAGUUCGUUUAUGGUUGCUGCUGUUAUUUUUUUUCUAAAAUUUGCUGCUAUUGGUUCUAUGUUUCAGAUGUUAGGAUACUUGUUGUUGAUGAAAUUAUGUGAACCGAGUUUAGUAAUCUGAAAAGUUGUGAUUCCUACCAGAUUGAGUUCAUAUUGCUGUUACGAUGAGCGCCUGAAUUUUAACUCCAUUAUAUUUAUUUCAGUUUAGAUGUGGUUUACAUGAAAGUGCUCAUGUGGUGUGUGUUGUUUCUGAAAUGCAGCCUUGUAGUUAUAGCUUGAAAUCACCAUGCCAUCUGACGAGAGUGAUAUUAUUUGCGUGUAUUUGUUGAUGGAAGAGUUGUUCCAUCAACAGUUAAAUCUAAUAUUGAUAGCCUAUUACAUUAUGCUUAAGAUGAGAACACGUAAACGUAAGAGAUUGGUUAGAGCUGCCACCUUUGGGUAUAUUGAAAGGAUGCCCGAACAAGAGAAUCAUAUGAACAGGCUAGUAGGAGUGACUGAUGUAGAUUGCAUUGCAAACUUAAGAAUGGAUAGGAACACAUUUGGUAGGUUGUGCCUUUUGUUACGUGAUCUAGGCGGGUUGACUGAUGGGCGGUACGUUAGUGUAGAGGAGCAAGUGGGAAUCUUUUUAUCAGUCUUGGCACACCACAAGAAGAAUCGGGUUGUUAGGUUUGAUUUCUGGAGGUCUGGGCAAACCGUUUCACGAUUUGUCCAUGUCGUUUUAAAGUCAAUAUUAAAACUCCAUGUCAUUCUACUUGUAAAACCUGUACCCGUACCGGAAGAAUGUACAAAUGGCAGGUGGCGGUGGUUCAAGGUAAUCCACUAACCAUUUCUAUUAUUGCACACAUCUAUUGAGCAUUUAAUGAUUAUUUGAAACUGAAUUCAGCAUCCUACAGCUCUUAUCCAAUUACUUAUAUGGUACUUAUGUUGAUAGGGAUGCUUGGGUGCUCUUGAUGGUACAUACAUAAAUGUUAUGGUACCCAAUGACGAUAAACCGAGGUACCGGACAAGGAAGGGCCAGAUUUCAACAAACACUUUGGCUGUAUGCGAUCGCUCAUCAAGGUUUGUCUACGUGUUACCUGGAUGGGAGGGGUCAGCGGCUGACUCACGGAUAUUGCGGAAUGCUCUUGUGCGUGAAAACGGCUUGAAGGUCCCUAAAGGUAUUCUUGCACCGUGAACAAGGAUCUCAUGAAUUUCAUACAAGUUUCUCUACAACAAGUCUAACUGAUUGGUGUUUGAAAUCGCAGGCAACUAUUACCUAUGCGACAAUGGCUAUGCAAAUAGUGAAGGAUUCCUUACGCCGUACAAAGGGAUACGAUAUCAUUUGAAGGAGUGGGGGCCGAAUAAUGCACGACCUCGGAACGCGAAGGAAUUAUUCAACCUUAGGCAUGCGAAAGCGCGGAAUGUGAUCGAGCGUGCAUUCGGUAUUCUAAAAAUGCGCUGGGGUAUAUUACGAAGUGCAUCUUUUUACCCUGUAAAGACACAGAAUCGCUUAAUAAUGGCUUGCUUUAUCCUCAACAACUUCAUCCGCAAUGAGAUGCCAGUGGACCCUAUCGAGCAGCAAUACGAUAAUGCAGCUGCAAAUGAAGAUGACGACCUCGAUAAUGAUACUGAAUUUAUUGGUGCUAUUGAGUCUUCGCCACAGUGGAACGCCGAGAGAGAUGCUAUAUCUAACUCGAUGUGGCACCAGUAUAUAAAUCAUUAUUGAGUUGAUUUAGUGAUGAGUCAAUUAGUUGGAACCUUGUUAGUACUUUCCUUGUAGUUGGUGAUUGCUCUCACAGCUGUCAUAAGAAUGAUUGGCAUAUGUUUUGGCUCGAGAGCACAUUAUGUCUGUAAUUGCUAUUUUUAUUUUAUUUGAGACUCUUAUGAAUGCAUAACUUAAGUAGAAGUAUUUUUUUUGUUUCACUAAUAGCUAAUGUAGUUCUGUUGUCUCCGAAUAUGAAAUUGGUAGAGUACUCAUUGUACCAAAUUAAUGCACCUGACUUUUCUUGUUGUUUCUUCCUUCUAAUGGCUGCGCAUUUUGCUAAGAUUGAAUUGAAAGCUGCGGUCAUUUCAUAUUAAACAUAUCUAACAGCUACCAUCAACAACCCAUUUCUUCCAUUAGUUGUGAAAUCCAAAGCCAAUUAAUGAACUCAUUAGUUAUAUUAUAUUUUUGUGGCUUACAAUUCAUGAAGCAACCUUUUAUAAAUGAGCUACCUAUGUGAAGAAGUUUCACCACCAAACUCUCGUAACUGUUAAAAUAGCAAGCUCAUCUGUUCCACAAGCAGAAGACAUCCCAGCAUGAACUACGAUGGCCCGAAGCAGGAGUGGUUCCUCUACAAAGGCCCAUGGAACGAGGCACUAGAUAGUUAUCUUUGCCGUCGUUUGUUCGAACGUGAGGAAGAAUGCAAGCCGACUCUGCCCGUCGAUUCACCUCAUGCAAUGAUUUGUGCUAUGGAAGCACUAAAUAAGGAACUCAAUGCUGGUGUCAUUUACGACGACGUACUUCAGCGGGUUGAGUUUCUUCGAAAACGCUACUUAUGCUUCAAGAAACUGGCUGCUAAUGUGAAUACGAACUGGGAAGCUUCCAACAACUGUAUCACGGCGAACGACAGCGUGUGGAAGGAAAUCUUCGAGGUAUAAGAAUUUAGUUCUCAUUACUAAAGUAAUAAAUGAUAUGCAUUCGUAGUGCUUCAUCAUCUAACAUUUUAAAUCUCUUGCGAUUCAACUUGUUUGAUUUCGACAGGAGGAUGAUUUCGCAAAAGCUUACUACACCAAAGGUGAUCCUAUUUGGCGCAACCUUUGCCGUCUUUUUGGGUACAAUAGCGUCAAGCAAGAGGCGGCGUCCCCGACUGUGAUACUCAUCUCCGAUUCUCCCCAUGCAAUGCCCGCUCGUGAGCGUGCACCAUAUAUAUCUAUUUCCGAAGACGAGGUGACAUCCCCCGUGAUGAAGCAACCAACAUCCCGUAAGUUAUCCUUUAAUGAUGAUGAGUCAUCGAGCAUCGGUAAGGUUAAGGAACACGAGGACAGCUCUUGUGCCUCGUCGAGUCCACACCAGUGAACUCGCGUUCGACCUGGUAUAAAAAUGGUGGCCUCUUUUUGUUUGUUCUUUUUGGGUUGAAGAUGAUAUUAUGUGAAAAUGGCGGUUGAUAGGGGUUUUUUUUGUUUGUGUAGAAAUGUUUAAUCAUGUGUAUUUAGUACAACCCCUCCCCCAAUUAGCUUUUGUGGGUGUUUGUGACAUUAUGUACUCACCUAUUAUCAAGUGAAAUUAAGUAUGCUUAUGUGUGUUUUAUUUUCAGAUACCUAGUUGGUAUUCAAGCUUAAUUUGUUAACUUUGGGGAUUUUUCUACAAUCAUAUUUAUAUUUUUCGAUCACCCAAAUUUGAACCAAAAAAGAAUACAAAUGAAUGCUAUUCAUUUCAAGAGACCAAUGUAAGUAACAGGGAUAGAUCAACAAAUACAUUUUAUAUAAGUAGAACAGAAGGAAUGCUAUUCAUAAGCCACACAAUCAAACUAAAGUCAAACAUCAAACUAUUUACAUAGUGAGAACAAAUCUCAUUUUUUCAGAGACUAUCACAAGCCACAAGCUAAUAUUUUCCAAAAUAACACAUCUCUUUUGUCCCACUCAAGAGAAUCACAUAACAAUGGCAACACUUUUUCUAAGAGAGAUUGCUCAAGUUCAAAAACCCAUUGAGUUCUCCAUAUGCAAACCAAAAUAGAUUACUAUAGACGGUUUAAAUUGUCCUACUGUCGCUUGGUGUCGAGUAGAUAUGCGACAUACUGUGGCUUUGCAUCAUCCGGAAGGCCCAUAAAGAGUUCGAGUCACUGCGUUUCACCAGCUAGUAUCUCGUAGGCGUAGAACUUUUCUUUGGUAUCUAAGUUAGGCAUGCCGUUGAGUUGAUCGUACACUUCCUUUCUUGCUUUAGCUAAAUCAAAUUUGUAACCUAUUCGUGAUGCAAUACUGUCCAUCUGCAUUUUGGAAUCGUGCCCCAUCUCUCCCAAAAACUCGAACAGCCUUUCAAAUCCAUCGCUAACCUUACGUUUCUUGCUUGUAGACCUAGCUGCGACCCCAGACUUUUCACUUUGGCAUGCACUGUCAGCUACUCCUUCUUGUUCAGCUUCAUCUUGAACGUGUACAUAAUAGUCACCAUGCAAUUUGUCGUUCGCUUGGUUACGUCCGUCAUGCAUCUCAUUGAUUGCGUCCAUGACAUCUUCUGCCUCUUUGCCACUUGCUCGGUCCUUGCCAAAUAUCUCUUUCCAAUCCUCCCAAUAUGGCCAGCUCUUGGAACGCAUUAGACGUGCAUUCGAGUCUUCCUACAUAGAAAACAACAUGUAUAUUGACCCCAUCAAAAAUCAAUCAAGCAAACAAGUAAAACAUACUCAAUAAAGCGUAUAGAAAAUUAAAACAUACCUGUAGAAUUUGCUCCCAUAGCACGUUAUCGCAAUCAAUCAUAUACUUCCCGUCAACAUUGAAUCCAACACCGGUCUUCUCUAGUAUAAAUGAUAAAGAAGAAUAAUUCCUCUUCCAUGUGCUUAGUUUCGAAUGUACAUGUGGCAUUCCCUUAAGAUCAGUCCCUGGAAAGAAGCUCUUAAGAGCUUCUUCAAGCUUACCUAGAUACCCAGCGCGGAAUCCAUUAUCUGAUUUAAAACCUUAAACGACAAGUUCCUUCAAGGAUGCUAACAACACCUCCUCCUCCCGAAUGGUCCAACUACGUCUGCUCUUGUCACCUUUUGAAGCUUUCUCACGACCGAUCUCAUUGCUCACCGAAUCUACAAUCGCAAAUGAAUACACGAAGAACCAUUCAGUACAUAUAUAUGUCCGAAUUCUACAAAUAAUUAUACAAUCCAAUAUAUUAUAUCACCUGGAAGUAAUGGCGCAAUAUAGGUCACCACUCAUGCAACACAAUCUCAGAAAAAUUUCAAAUUUAUGCAGUAUAUAGGUUGAAUCGUUGUGUGCAGUUAACCACUCACGAAAAUAAUGCACAUUAGACAAUCGAGGACAUUUCUGAUUUUUCCAAGCGAAAAUAACGAAAUCUACACACCUAGAUAGAACACGAGCAUUUAGAAAUUGAAGCGACCACUUUUUUACUCAUGAAAUUUCAAUCGAAAUGUGUAUCUAGCAUUGAUAUUGCAAUAUCGAAUUUCAAAAUUUUACACCAACAAAUCAAAAAAUCUAUGAAUAUCUCGAUGACUUACUUCCUUCAACUCUGGACAUGGCGUCAGACAACCGCGUCGUCUUGCGAUAAACAAAGAUUCGCCGGCCGCCGGCGGUAUUCGCCCUCGAUGGAGUAGUUGCUCUUCUCUUCGACUAUUGAACUGCAACCGGUGGAAUUUGGCUGAAAGAUUUUUCGCGGGUUAUAAAUUGGAGGCGCAAGAAUCUAGAUACAUUUGCUCUCCCGCUCUAAAUAAUUGAGGGACAAUUCGGUCAAUAGAUCAAUUAUUUGAGGGCAUUAUAGGACUGUUGAUUUUAAUCAUUAUAUUACUAAACCCUAUCAAACAUAAUUUAAAAAUUACUUGGAAAUAUAUCUACCGCAUGUAAAAAGCUAUCAAACCAUAUAUUUACUAAUUUAUUAGAAAUGCAGCAUUUCUAUAGUUCACUAUCAAACAGGGCCUAAGUGAAAAUAAUGNUGUUUGUCGAUCUGGGACUAACGGUUGUUACAAUUGUGGCCAAAAGGGUCACUACUCCACGCAAUGCCCCAACAGACAACGAGGUUCAGCAAUUGAGAACACCCACACCCCCUUGCCAGCAAUACGUGAACACUUGCGAAAUCAAUCUCAAUCACAUCAGUGAAAAUCUUAUGGAGAUACCGCAGACAAGAGAAGCUACGUGGGAACUUGAAGACAAGAUGAAGGAAAAAUACCCCGAACUGUUUAGCAGAGAUAUGCAAAUUUCGGGACGAAAUUUUUGUUAAGAGGGGUAGUAUGUAAUGACCCGCAUUUUUAUUUUUAUUUAAUAUGGUAUCGCGAUAAUUAAUAUAGCAUCUUUCAGUAAAUGAAACCCAGUUACCAGUUAUAUAUGAAUUCAGUUUAUGAUCCUGAUUUUUUUUUAUCAGAGAUGGAGUAUUAUUUUAGCCGUAUGCUUUUGUAUGCAUGAGAAAAACGCGACGAGGAUUAUUGAACUAUUCAAUAAUUAUUAUUUUUAAUUGACUUAGCGAAGUCAAGUUAUUUAUUAAUCGAGAAACGGAAGCAGUUAUAUUUUAUUAGUGCUACUAGAAGUCGAGGAUUUAUUCCGACAGCAAAGCAGAUUAAAUCUACGGAUUUAAUUUAAGUUAUAUUAUAGUUUAUCAAGUUAGCAGGCAAGGAAAAAGAUAUCAAACAGAUACAAUAACGGAUGAUAGAGAAUAAAAGCCAGUAUUUUAUUACAGUUCACGAAUACAGUCUACUUCCCAGCUUGGGGAAAAUUGUAUAGUAUUUUACAAGGUUGAAUUUACCACCAUUUGCUUCCCCACCACUACACCUACUCUUCCACUCCACCAACUUCUCCACUACAUUUUUC